AAAAAAAAAAAAAAUCUCACUUCCCACGGCUUGACUGUCGGAUCCUGCCUUCCCCAGCCGGAUCUGUGUGUCUCGUGUGGUCCCCCAUUGCCCCACCCCCUCAGCUGCCUGCAGGCUCUGGUCAGCCAGGCCUGAGACGAUGAGAACUGAAAACCCCAUCCGCAUUAGGGAGUGGAGACUGCGGCUCAGGAAGGGACAGGGCACCGUCCCAAGUCUCUUCUGUCAGCAUGGGGUGGUCCCUGCCCCCAGAGGGACCUGGA
rnacentral:lncRNA from 1 species